rnacentral:siRNA from 1 species
UAUCCUUCUGAUUCCAAUUGUGCA